rnacentral:rRNA from 1 species
GACUCCACGAAGUUGGAUUCGCUAGUAAUCGCGCAUCAGCCAUGGCGCGGUGAAUACGUUCCCGGGCCUUGUACACACCGCCCGUCAAGCCAUGGGAGCCGGGGGCGCCUGAAGUCCGGGACCGCGAAGACCGGCCUAGGGCGAAACUGGUAACUGGGGCUAAGUCGUAACAAGGUAUC